GUGCCAGCCGCCGCGGUAAUACGGAGGGUGCAAGCGUUAUCCGGAUUCACUGGGUUUAAAGGGUGCGUAGGCGGGUAGGUAAGUCAGAGGUGAAAUCCUGGAGCUUAACUCCAGAACUGCCUUUGAUACUAUCUAUCUUGAAUAUGGUGGAGGUAAGCGGAAUAUGUCAUGUAGCGGUGAAAUGCAUAGAUAUGACAUAGAACACCUAUUGCGAAGGCAGCUUACUACGCCUAUAUUGACGCUGAGGCAC
rnacentral:rRNA from 1 species